rnacentral:rRNA from 1 species
GAUGAACGCUGGCGGCGUGCCUAAUACAUGUAAGUCGAGCGAACAGAUGAGGAGCUUGCUCCUCUGACGUUAGCGGCGGACGGGUGAGUAACACGUGGAUAACCUACCUAUAAGACUGGGAUAAAUUCGGGAAACCGGAGCUAAUACCGGAUAAUAUAUUGAACCGCAUGGUUCAAUAGUGAAAGACGGUUUUGCUGUCACUUAUAGAUGGAUCCGCGCCGCAUUAGCUAGUUGGUAAGGUAACGGCUUACCAAGGCAACGAUGCGUAGCCGACAUGAGAGAGGGAUCGACGACACAGGAACUGAGUCAAGAUCCAUACUCCUGAGGGAAGCGGCAGUAGACAACCUUACGCAGAAGGCGGGAGCCUGACGGAGCAGCGCCGCGCGAGUGAGGAAGGUCUGCUGAUCGGAAAAGUCUGUAUUGAGAUAAGAACAAAUGUCUAAGUAGCUAUGCAGGUCUUGACGGUAACGAAUCAGAGAGCACCGGCUAACUACGUG